GGGAAGGCUUCACCCCAGCGGCCGAUUGGCUGCUGAGCGCCGCGCGGCGAGGGCAGCCUUGUGACGCGAUUGGCUAGCAGGGGUUGGGGGGAGGGGCGGAAGGAAAGAGGCCAGGGCAUUGGGCCGUUCAGACGCGCGCCGUUGGACAUCCUAGGCUGGGAUAGGACAGGAGGAGGUUGCGUAAUGGGUUCUUUCUCUGCGAUUGGUCGGUGGGCGGGUUUCUCUCCUCCCCUUCGUUGGAGUCAGGGCGCUCUCGUGUUCGGGUAGUAAACACGCGGGCGCAUGCGCAGGACGGUGAUCGGCAAGGCCUGGUCCUUUUCUAGGUAUCUGGACUCGUCCUCCAAACUAGGAGGACGGAGUCCUCGUCUCCCGUUUCCAAUGCCUCCUUUGAGCUUGCUGCACUUCUCCCAUUCGUUGAUUCAGCUCAGCAGCGUCCCUCGGACCCCGAGGCUUUGGGGGAAGCGCCGUUUCCUGUUGCCGUGGAGGCCCGGCCCUUUAUGCCUCGUGGCCGAAAAGAAGAGCUCCGAAGACCUUCUGCCUCUGAACGAAGCGGACUUGGAAGAGCAGUUUGUGCGGGGAUCGGGACCCGGGGGCCAGGCAACCAACAAAACCAGCAACUGUGUGGUCCUGAAGCAUCUUCCUUCAGGGAUUGUCGUCAAGUGCCAUGAAACGCGAUCAGUGGAGCUGAACCGCCAGAGAGCCAGAGAAAUCCUGCAGGAGAAAGUGGACGUCUUCUACAAAGGUGAAACCAGCGAGGUUCUUCUAGAGAAGAAGGAGCUUCAGAAGAAGAAGCAGGCCAAGAGGCAGCAAGCGAGGGAGAACCUGGAAAGGAAGAGGCGUCUGAAAGAGCUGCAGACAUCGGAGGACAAAUAAGGAGCAGGCUGGGUACAUCCUACACGUGAUAAAAAUAAGAAUUUGCAGUUGUCGGAAGAUAAACUUUUCUCUUCCAAGAGCUAAAAUGCAGGAGACAGUUACCAGGGCGAUAUAGUCGGCAGUUUCUCUGUGCGGCCCCAAUCUCUCACGGCAAAAGCCCUCUGGAUGUUUUUCCCAAGGCAGGAUCCCGGCGUUCUCAUGGAUUUUCUGACACUCUUCCCUCCCAAGUUUAGUUGAAAACAGCGGAGCCAAGUUCUUCCCUUCCUGCACACAGUUACCGGGUCAACGUGGGACGUCAUGGAUGGAACUGCCUCCCUCUAUUGAAGUUUGCAUAAAGCAGAUUGGUGUGAUUGAACACAGUCAAAGAAAUGAAACCAUCUUUCUACAAAAUCAUCGGAAUCAACAUUAAGAGUUUGUCUGUUGCAGUUUGGAAGCAAUUUGGACCAACGUUUAGAAGAACAGAAUCAGGCGAGAAUGCAUCUACAGCAUUAAGCCCGGCCGUUCUGGAUGUAAUCACGCAUCGUCACACAAGGCAGACCAGAUGCAGAGAAGGAGAAGGCGACAUCAGCCAGAGCACUGCCAAGAUGAGACAACUGCAUUCCCAAGCCAUGCAACAGUGUGCAAGAAAUAUGCCGUGUGUGAGGAUAUUCACUGCUUGAGUCAUCCGCUGUAGGUAUGGACUUUCGCCUGAAGCAUCGCGCCUCCAAGCGACUGCAGGGUAGCUGCUGCCUUCCCAUUUUGUACUGGACGAUUAAAAGUGAAAGAUUUGUAUCUGCUUA